rnacentral:ncRNA from 1 species
ACCAUGUCUUAUAAUUUAUCCAUAAAAGUUUUAUUCUAGCUCGAGUAUUCUCUGGUAAAUUGUUUCACAUGUAAGAAGUUAUGUGUUAGUUAAGAAAAUCUAAAAGAUUUCGAAUUUCAUUACUCGCAGUGUUUUGUAUUGAGAGUCAAGGAUAGUUGGAUUUAGCAAUUUUAUUAGCUCCGGCAAAAUUCGUGCCAGCCGCCGCGGUUAUACGAAAGGGGCAAGAGAUUAUUAUUGGUUUGUAAUUAAUUUUGUUGGUGGUUAGAAAUGAGACUUUGUUAGGUGAAAUUUUAAAGUUUGAGAUUAACCUUUAGUUUGGUGAAUGAAGUUAUGAAACUUAAAUCGAGAAACUAGGAUUAGAUACCCUACUAUUUUAAGCGUUAAAUUGGAGCCUGAGUAGUAUUAGUUAUGUUCUUGAAACUCAAAGAAUUUGGCGGUGUUUUAGUCCAAUCAGAGGAAUCUGUCCCGUGAUCGAUAGUCCACGUUUAUUUAACUUAGUCUAGUAUUCAGCUUGUAUACCGCCGUCACAAGAAGAAUUUGAGAAAAUAUCUUCAAUGCUCUGAAUGAAGAGGGAAGUCAGGUCAAGGUGCAGUUUAUGAUUAAGGGGAGAUGGAUUACAAUAAGUGAAAGUUAGACGGAAAUGUCUUGGAAUAGAUUUAUGAAGGUGGAUUUGAGUGUAAUGAAAUUAAAGGUGAUUUUAUGAUAAAGGCUCUAAAACAAGCACACAUCGCCCGUCGCUCUCGUUUGUUAAGGCGAGAUAAGUCGUAACAUAGUAGAUGUACCGGAAGGUGUCUCUAGAAAGU